GUCCAGUGAUGUAUCGUUGCAUCUUCCGACGGCCGACGAUGUCGUUGCAUCUUCCGACGGCCGACGAUGUCGUUGCGGUGCGUUUGGCUUCACAAUGCACAGCUGAGAAGGCAACUAUGCUGACCGAUAACCUGAAUCUAAGGACUGCCGUCAUGGCUCUUCUGGCAUCGUUUCACAGGUUGGUUUUCUUUAUCUCCAAAAGUGCAUCAACGCUGUGGAGUAUUUAUUCUCGUGUUCUUGCAUCAUUCAUUGAAUCCUAUGCGCCACUGUCACACACCUUCAUGCCCGUCCCUGGAUCAAGCGUCAUCCGAGGUGCAGCACCGCCCUGGGCAGGUCGUGAGCACUCCUUCAGUCGUCACCUGCACAUCGGCAGGAAAUCCAGUGCCUUGAUGCAUCUUCCUCAUAUACAUGAGCUCUUCUCUCCGGCCUCGUGUAACGACGCCGGCCGCUGAGUUGGACCCAAAAAAGUAGUGUGCGACUCACCCUUCCAUCCCCUCUCUAGUUCUUCCAUUGUUUUUGAGUUUUGGUCUGACUUGAAAAAGAGUAUGUGUUUGGCAGCGACGGCAUGGUCACCGUGAAUAAAUAAAUUUUGAUUGUAA